ensembl:lncRNA
AUAGAGUUGAGGUUAAAGGAGAUAAUAUACAGGUACAUUCAAAAGCACUUCUUAAACAAGAGAAGCUUGGAACAUCUACCAUGGGAGACAUGAUACAGCAUGAAUAAGAGAUGAAAUAAAGCAUCUCCAGACAUCAGGGAGAGUUGAGGUGAAGUUCAGAAUAAGAAUAAAUGGCAAACCCAAGUCUGCACAGUUUCUGUGACUUACUCCAGCAUACUGGAGUGAAGAAAGCAGAAUCUGAAUCCGUAGGUAUGGAGAAGGACAAGAAGCUGAAGAAAACCAGAUUCCAUAUUUUUUUAAAGCUUAGGCUCCAGGCACUGUGCCUAUAGCAUGAAAUGGAUAAUGAAGACAUCAGACGGUUGUCCAUUGGGUCCAAAUCAAGUAGGGAAAGUCAUGAACAAAGCAAGCAGUGAGAUAAUCAGGCAUCCUAGUCGGUCUUAAGAUAACAGGAACAAAUGGAGCAUAAGGAGCCAGAGUGUUACCAUUUCUGGAAUUGUGGAGGUACAGGUUCUAGAUGCCAAAUUCCCCAUACAGCCAAAUCAGGAGACUCCUUCUAAGAACGAAGACAGAGAAACUGUGAAGUAAAGGAUGUCCUACGUGUUCAUCUUACCACUACUCUGUGAGCCCACAGAGGACUUAUCCUUCUUUGACAUCUUCCACUAUACCAUUGUGACUAGUCAGGGGCCCUCUCUGAUUUAAAAAAAAAAAAAAACCACAGCGAGACAAACUUGCCCUCUUUCUCUUACACAAAACUGUAGAACUCUGGUUGACAUACAACUCCUUAGUCAUCGGCACCUCUAGCCCCGACGGACGAAACAACAGCUUCUCAAGCCCCAGGGAACCGGGAUUCGAGCUUCCCGGCGAGUGCCACACGAAGGCAAAGCUAGACCUUGGUCCAACAGUCUCCCUGAUGGGUCCUGAAAACCAGCCUGGCCCGGAAAAUGCCAGGACCCAGCGAGCCGCUUCCAGAAGCUCCGGUAACCCGCACGCAUGGCCUCAAGGACUCCUGAAUUAAAAUAAGCUGGGACGCCCAGAGGGGAACUCGCAGGUUCACAGGAGAGCCAAGGAUAAAACGCCAUUCGCCGCUUCCGAGUACUCGGGAACCAAGAAAACAUCUCCCCCUUCAACUCCCCUUCUACAAGCCCUGGGCGGAGCUUGGGGCAACUGACAGCGCGAGCCACCAAUGGGAGGCCCCAGGGUGGGUUCGUGGGACCAAUCCGAGGGCGCAAAGGAAGCCUUCCCCGUGGCACAUCAGCGCAUCUUUCUAAGUUGUCCUCUGACCUCUCUGGUCGCCAGAGCCAUAGAGAGGGAGACAGUCGCCGUAAAAUGGUGACGCUGGCUAUACUA